CGCCUGGUAACACUGAGGGAACUGGGUCCCUCAUGAUUAAGAUCUGCAUCCUUCCCCAGGGAAUGUGCCGAUCCCAAUCUACAUAAAUGCGUCUAUGUUCGCCUCACCUACAGAAGAAGAGAGGAAGGGCUGGAGAAUGGCAGCAAUUCAAGACAAUAUCAAGGGAGUUAGAGAGUUAUCAUCGUCAUAGCAUACUCUGAAUAAACUCACAGUGCAAGCAAAAUGCAUACGGAUAUGUGAG